rnacentral:rRNA from 1 species
CCUACGGGAGGCAGCAGUGGGGAAUAUUGGACAAUGGGGGGAACCCUGAUCCAGCGACGCCGCGUGAGUGAAGAAGUAUUUCGGUAUGUAAAGCUCUAUCAGCAGGGAAGAAAGAAAUGACGGUACCUGACUAAGACGCCCCGGCUAACUACGUGCCAGCAGCCGCGGUACUACGUAGGGGGCAAGCGUUAUCCGGAUUUACUGGGUGUAAAGGGAGCGUAGACGGCGAUGCAAGUCUGAAGUGAAAGGCGGGGGCCCAACCCCUGGACUGCUUUGGAAACUGUAUGGCUGGAGUGCAGGAGAGGUAAGUGGAAUUCCUAGUGUAGCGGUGAAAUGCGUAGAUAUUAGGAGGAACACCAGUGGCGAAGGCGGCUUACUGGACUGUAACUGACGUUGAGGCUCGAAAGCGUGGGGAGCAAACAGGAUUAGAUACCCCGGUAGUC